rnacentral:rRNA from 1 species
GGAGGGGGGUCAGCGUUGUUCGGAAUUACUGGGCGUAAAGCGCACGUAGGCGGACUGGAAAGUUGGGGGGGUGAAAUCCCAGGGGCUCAACCCUGGAACUGCCUCCAAAACUAUCAGUCUAGAGUUCGAGAGAGGUGAGUGGAAUUCCGAGUGUAGAGGUGAAAUUCGUAGAUAUUCGGAGGAACACCAGUGGCGAAGGCGGCUCACUGGCUCGAUACUGACGCUGAGGUGCGAAAGUGUGGGGAGCAAACAGGAUUAGAUACCCUGGUAGUCCACACCGUAAACGAUGAAUGCCAGUCGUCGGGUAGCAUGCUAUUCGGUGACACACCUAACGGAUUAAGCAUUCCGCUUGGGGAGUACGGUCGCAAGAUUA